AGAGUUUGAUCCUGGCUCAGGACGAACGCUGGCGGCGUGCUUAACACAUGCAAGUCGAACGAGACGAUUGAAAGCUUGCUUUUGAAAGUCGAGUGGCAAACGGGUGAGUAACGCGUAGACAACCUGCCGUAAAGAUGGGGACAACAGUCCGAAAGGACUGCUAAUACCGAAUGUUGUAAAUCUUCCGCAUGGAAGACUUACUAAAGGUGGCCUCUACUUGUAAGCUAUCGCUUUACGACGGGUCUGCGUCUGAUUAGCUGGUUGGUGGGGUAACGGCCUACCAAGGCGACGAUCAGUAGCCGGUCUGAGAGGAUGAACGGCCACAUUGGAACUGAGACACGGUCCAGACUCCUACGGGAGGCAGCAGUGGGGAAUCUUCCGCAAUGGGCGCAAGCCUGACGGAGCAACGCCGCGUGAGUGAAGAAGGGUUUCGACUCGUAAAGCUCUGUUGUCGGGGACGAACGUGGAGACGGCGAAUAGCUGUUUCCAAUGACGGUACCUGACGAGGAAGCCACGGCUAACUACGUGCCAGCAGCCGCGGUAAUACGUAGGUGGCGAGCGUUGUCCGGAAUUAUUGGGCGUAAAGGGAGCGCAGGCGGGAAGGUAAGUCUAUCUUAAAAGUGCGGGGCUCAACCCCGUGAGGGGAUGGAAACUAUCUUUCUUGAGUGCAGGAGAGGAAAGCGGAAUUCCUAGUGUAGCGGUGAAAUGCGUAGAUAUUAGGAGGAACACCAGUGGCGAAGGCGGAUUGCUGGACAGCAACUGACGGUGAGGCGCGAAAGUGUGGGGAGCAAACAGGAUUAGAUACCCUGGUAGUCCACACUGUAAACGAUGAAUACUAGGUGUGCGGGGACUGACCCCCUGCGUGCCGCAGUUAACACAAUAAGUAUUCCACCUGGGGAGUACGAUCGCGAGGUUGAAACUCAAAGGAAUUGACGGGGGCCCGCACAAGCGGUGGAUUAUGUGGUUUAAUUCGAAGCAACGCGAAGAACCUUACCAGGGUUUGACAUCCUGCUAACGAAGUAGAGAUACAUUAGGUGCCCUUCGGGGAAAGCAGAGACAGGUGGUGCAUGGUUGUCGUCAGCUCGUGUCGUGAGAUGUUGGGUUAAGUCCCGCAACGAGCGCAACCCCUAUUGUUAGUUGCUACGCAAGAGCACUCUAGCGAGACUGCCGUUGACAAAACGGAGGAAGGUGGGGACGACGUCAAAUCAUCAUGCCCCUUAUAUCCUGGGCUACACACGUAAUACAAUGGCGGUCAACAGAGGGAUGCAAAGCCGCGAGGCAGAGCGAACCCCUAAAAGCCGUCCCAGUUCGGACCGUGGGCUGCAACCCGCCCACGUGAAGUCGGAAUCGCUAGUAAUCGCGGAUCAGCAUGCCGCGGUGAAUACGUUCCCGGGCCUUGUACACACCGCCCGUCACACCAUGAGAGUCGGGAACACCCGAAGUCCGUAGCCUAACCUGAAGAGGAGGGCGCGGCCGAAGGUGGGUUCGAUAAUUGGGGUGAAGUCGUAACAAGGUA
rnacentral:rRNA from 1 species